AUUGAACGCUGGCGGCAUGCUUUACACAUGCAAGUCGAACGGUAACAGGUUAAGCUGACGAGUGGCGAACGGGUGAGUAAUGCAUCGGAACGUGCCCGAUCGUGGGGGAUAACGCAGCGAAAGCUGCGCUAAUACCGCAUACGAUAUGAGGAUGAAAGCGGGGGACCGUAAGGCCUCGCGCGAUCGGAGCGGCCGAUGUCAGAUUAGGUAGUUGGUGGGGUAAAGGCCCACCAAGCCGACGAUCUGUAGCUGGUCUGAGAGGACGACCAGCCACCCUGGGACUGAGACACGGACCAGACUCCUACGGGAGGCAGCAGUGGGGAAUUUUGGACAAUGGGCGAAAGCCUGAUCCAGCAAUGCCGCGUGCAGGAAGAAGGCCUUCGGGUUGUAAACUGCUUUUGUACGGAGCGAAAAGGUCCUUUCUAAUACAAGGGGCUCAUGACGGUACCGUAAGAAUAAGCACCGGCUAACUACGUGCCAGCCGCCGCCGUAA
rnacentral:rRNA from 1 species